ensembl:lncRNA
UUUACUUGGUUAUAUUCUGUUAUUGGUUAUGACAUAAAAAUUUGCCAUCACAUCUGCUAUGUUAUUUAAUGCCUUUGUUCUUAUUUUGCAAUGAGGGGUUAAAAACACAAUCAGACCGCAGUUGCUUGUUUACACCAUUUUGCACUCAAAACCAAAAUGUAGUGCAUUUAUUUUAAUGCAUUUGUAAUAAAGAAACAUUAAUCAUCCUUCUAAUAUCAGACUUUAUUUGUAUAAUUUAAAAUUAAAGAGAAGUCCUAAAGGUAUUUUCCAUAAGUUUAGAGACUAAAACAUCUCUCAGAAAACAAAAUUAAAAUACAUUGUAUUUGUAAAAGCUACUUUUUGGGGGGGAAUUUUGAUGCAAAUUAUCUCAGUCAGACCUUUCAUAAUCAGAAAAAACCCAGAGCAAUUAUACUCUUUGUAAAGAGGUGAUGUCUCUUAUGCCAUGAUUUAUAACUGGUAUAACUGAUAAAGAGACCAGUUUUCUAGCUGAGAGUAAAUCAUGGUUAAUGGCUAUCCAUUUCAGUUAUUACACAUUUGUUGGGUAUUCUUGUAAUUUGGUUUUCUGUAUUUUCAGAAAUUAAAUCUUAUGCAUAGGGAUUUGAACUGUUGACUAGAAUAUUAUUUCUAGCACUAUUUGGUCUAAAAAAAAAAUAUAACACUGUGGAUCAGGAUUCAUAAUUUUCUGAAAAUAAAUUAUUCUCCCCCUCCAGCCCCAUAUACAAUGCAAACUUUCAUUAAAACACUUCUAGUGGGGUUCAUGAUGUUACACACGUGCUUACUAGUCUGCCCAUAGCUCCUUUACAGUACUUUUGAGGACACUCAUUUAAUUUUUUUCUGUGUAUUGAUCCUGAAACACAUGAAGCAAACAUUCAAGUUUGCAAAGACUCUAAGAGGAAGAAGCAAAUUGGUUGGGUACUGCUGUAUUGUCAAAAUGCCUUCUGUCUAACAGGAGAAUCCUCAGACUGUAUCCUGACCCAUGUUUCACACAAUUUGUCUUCUUUUAUUCCUGCCAAGAAAAAAUGUUGGGAAGAUCAUCUGGUGUGAUAGAAGUGUCCUAUAAAACUGAUCAAGUGGGAGAACUUGAAUGAUUGUAGGUUAAUGAGAUAAUAGGUUAAUGAGUUUCAAGGAAGACCAGGAGCUUAUCAACAUAAUGAACAGGCAAGUCUCUAGUCAAGGGGGAAUUGGUUAGGUAGGAAAAGGUGCAACAGAAUCAGCAAGAUUUUAGAUGCAUCUACACUGUAAAGAGAACUAUAGCAAAGUAACAAGGACAAAAACACGUAUAUGCAACACAUAUAAGAAUGUAAGCAACAUUAUUUCAGCACCAAGACUCAACUAAUCAUUUCUAUAACAUCAAUUCUGGGGAUAAUGCCACUUAAGAAGUUUGGGGUAGAAUUUUAUAUAGCAAGUUAUAUGCACUUUCACUGAAACCAAAAUAUAAUGACAUUUAGACUCAUUAAAUCUCUACACAAUAAUAGAAGGGAAAAAAACCAAGAAUAUUUCCAUCAGGCAUGGUCUAUGGCUAGCUUCUAAAUUAACAAGAUCAAGUGGAAGAAGCUUUUAGGGGAAAAAAGAGGGAAAAGUGUUUAAGUGUUAGCAGCAUCAUUUGACAGACAGGCUUUGAUGUUAAUGGCAGGUUUCUAACUUCUGAUUCACUGAAGAAAGAGAGUAAGACUAUACAACAGGCAAGCAGGACAUGUCUUUAGAUCCAGGAAGUUAAGACAUAGCCAAAGAAUAAUGUUUUCUUCAGUUUUGAACAAUUUUGGAAAACUGGCAAUAUGGCAGACAUUAAUCAUGACAUUAUGCAGUGUUUCAUUCCUAGAGAAAAAGGGAGACCAAACAAUAGGAGAGGCCUAAAAGCUUCUGCAAUAGUUGUAACUUCAAUUUUCAAAGAAAGAAAAACUUGAAAAUUUUGUCAUCUAGAAGACACCAAACUGAUAAGUAAUAAUGUCAAAAAGAAAUCCUGAUGAACCAACUGAAUUUUUUAACAUGAGAGCAAACCUGAGAGUUGGGUGAAAGCAGGUAUUUUGAAUUGGACUUUUGACUCUGUCCAAUAAGAUAUUCACUUGGCUUCUCCCGAAAGCACACUCUCGAUUAGCUUCACACAAAAUGGAUACGUAAUUGGAGAAAAAAUAUUUAAUAGGCCAAAAGUUAAAGGAUAUAAGUACUAUAGGGCAAUUUUAUGGUUGCAUAUUCUCCAACAUUUUUACUUAUUUAGGUUCCUGUUUUUCUAGGAAUCUAAAAAAAUACAAUGCAUUAAAUGUGCAAGACGUGUGGUUGUGAGCUUACUGUAAGUGGAAUAUUAGAAUGAAGGAUCUUGACAGAAGAAACAAAAGCAAACAGCAACAAUCAAAACAAAAGCAAAACUAAAAACAAAUGAAAAAUGACAAAACAAAGUGAAAAUACCAAGACAAACAAUAGGAGAAAAAACCUACAAAAAUCCUGUCCUAGACAGGAAAUAGUGGCAAUCAAAAUCAAGUAUACCUAGCAGUCAAUGGCAUGUCGUAUCAGUGCAAAUAAGAAUCUAAAUAAUUACUGUUUACAAAAAGAUAUUCAAUUGUACUUAAAUAAUGUUACUGAAAUACUAAAAGAUAGAAACUGACUUGUUUAAUAUUAAUCACAGAAAGUAAUAAUUCUGCUCUUCUCAGCACUAUAUGACCUCCCCAGGACUGCCAUUUCCAAUUUGGACAUUACGCAAUCAAAAAGAUGAGCCUUUAAGAAUUAUUAGACAAUAAAUGUGGAAACAUAAAAAUGUGAUUUGGCUUUUCAGGAGAAAUCUGUGGGAAAAACAUAAUGGCAAGCUUAAAAACCUGCUGAAAAAGAAGGAAGGGGAAAAACUUUUUCCAUGUC